UCCCCAUUACUGUGGCAGACAUCUUGGGGACAAGAUUACUCAAGUUUGCGGUUGGCACUUAGAAGCUUGGGAUGACGUCCACCCAGCGUUUGUGGAAUCCGAUGAGGCCAAUAGUUUCUUGGCCGACCGCCGAAUCUCAAAGCGAAGCCUUGGCGAAGAAUGCUGCCACGAGGGAUGCUCCAAUGAGGAAGUACGCGAACACUGCUAAAGAAAACACCAGGGCGGAUCCGGAACGGACUGACUUCGCGAUACCCGAAAAUUAUACAUUUUCUUUGUUUUUUUUGCUCGCUUAUUACAAUUCAAGCGGUGUUUUUGUUCUCUAUUUAAAAUAUAUUCUACAUAAUUUUACUCACACCAUAAUUUGCCGCAUGAGAUUACAAACAACAUAAGAAACAACCAAUAUAGAUUGGUUGUUUCGUACACAUUUACACAUUAAAACACAGUUAAGGAAAAUAAAUUAAAGUCUUUGGCUACACGUUCUUUCAUCGGUUGAAGAAACUCUAAGCAACUUCACUUGAUUGAGAUUUGACAUUAAACAAAAACAGUUAAGUUUACUUGAGGAGGAUAUCAGUGAGUGUGAACUUUUUUUAAACGAAUUGUCAGAGAAAACUUUAAGAUCGUAAAAGCUGUUUUAUCACCAUAGCAUUUGCAGUGAUUUAAUUUGUAAUUUCGUGACCCCACAUUCAACACAAGCCAUCGACGUAAAUUGUGCCCAUUACCUUCCGGGACAUGUUUUUUUUUUCGUUUAUAAAAGCUAAAAAGAAGAUAAUCACUUACCAUCUGGGAAGUUCUUGGCGUCUUUUAAAAGGACCACACCAGCGAGUAAAUAAUACUUUUUCUUUGGUGGUAAGUUUUCUGUCAUUUUGAAGAUCAUAAAUUAUGUCUGGUUAGUGUUUAAAGAACAAAUGGGUAAAUCUGUACGGGUUGCAGGGAUCGAACGAACGGUCUCACCAAAGUUUUGAAAUCUUAAUAAAAAACAAUAUGUUAAAGUUUCUCAAAUAUUGAAAUUGAUAAGUUCGAAGUUGACACAGUUUGGAGGUUUGCAGAGUGUUUGAGAACAUAUACUUUGGAAGUUUUCACAAGGAUGUAGUUGUCAUGUGAACUUAAGUUACGCCUGAUUUACGUACUCGGUGUGUUGGAUUUCUAUACAUUAUUAAGACUUUUUGUUUUCCGACUUCUUCCAUUCUGUUUCACAGUUUCGUUUCUGCUGUAAUUGCCGUAUCAAUUAAGUCUUAAUUUCGGUUGGAGACUACAUUAACAAGUUACUUCAAAAACA